rnacentral:lncRNA from 1 species
GUAUUGGGGGUGGGACACAGGGUAUAUGAGAAACCUUUGUACCUUCCUCUCAAUUUUGUUGUGAACUUCAAACUACUCUAAAAAAUUAAAUCUGUAAAAAACCACAAUAUACCUCCACACAGAAGUGUUGCAGCUCAGUCUUUCCACCACCAUUCACAGAGAAUGCACCUUGGGCGAUCAAAUGCCUUACCUGAAUUUGAAGCUCAGGAAUAUGAUAACCUUAGUCUGUCUUUCUCUUAAAAUAAAAGUAGCUUUUUUUUCUGAAGAUAAAAAUGACAUAUGCUGAUUAAAAGAAAGUAAAAAUUAUUUCCACCUCUUAACAUCUCCUGAACAUUCCUCCUGCUAUCUCUAGGCAGAUUAGAUAGGUGGAUCAUAGAAAGAUGGAUGAUUUAUGGAGUUUCAUAUAAAUGAUACUAUGGUAUAGAUACUGUAAUAUAUCAGGCUUUGUUUUUACUAACAGUGUAGUUUGACAUUCCGUCAAGACAUCUAAUUCUAUACCAUUAUAAAGGCCACACUGAUUCAUAACUAUGAUCUAUUGGACCUGUAUCCUUGUUGGUGUUGUUAAGCCCUCUUGUGAGGGUGGGGCAAGACAAGUAGCCAUGGAAAGCCCAACGCUGGGGCAAAAGAUGUCUUUGAGGAAGGAAUCAAGCACCACACUCCGCAUGGAGCAAACCUUCAGGAAACCGAGACCUCUUGAUUUCUGAUUACUUGAAAUUCUAGGGCUACCAUCAGCCUAAACUCUUGAAGCCUAGCUGAGCCUGAUAAAGACUAGCUUUAGACUAACGCGAAAUUUUGACCCCAAAACUAACGCAGUGGAUGCACAAGACCUUAAGAGCCAUGCUGUUCCGAGAGCACUCCUGCAGCUCAACAGAGAAGCUCAGGCAUGCUCCCGCCUCGCCGGGGGGCUCACCACCUCUCUGAGCUUCUACCCUCUGUUCUAGAAACACUCCAGGAUUUCAUGCUUGCCCUCCUUGCUUCCAUCAAUGUGUUCCUGCUCUUUGUUACAUGCUGGGAAGAUACGUUCUCUUUUUUUGAACACUGAAGUUGGAGCCAAUUUUUUCAGUGCUAUUCUUCAUUCAACAAGUAUUAACUGAAGGCCUACCGUGGCUGUGCAGUCUUCUAGGUCCAGGGAUACGGCAGCAAGCAAGAUGGAAGUGAAUGCCGGUGGGAGCGACGAGAAGGUCCAUCUUCACGUAAUUAAAAGGAGAUGUAAGUGAAGGCCUCCUCCCCAUUCUCACUUUUUACACAAACUAUUCUAGGUACAAAUUUUGAUUUUCAGUGGUGGGAGGUGGGAGGGAGAAGGGAAAUGUUCUGACACGUAACUUUGUGUGCAUCUUCUCUCUAAAAUCGAUCAAUGGAAGAAGCUCCCGGAACCUCAGAGAGGAGCAAUGUUUGUUUGCUGUUUGUCACUCUUCCCCUAAGAACACGUCUGUUCUUCCACUAGGGUGACACUCUGCCCCCUCGGGAAGCAUUUGCCACCCCUGGAGACCCACAGAUCUCUGGGAGCAGGAAACUCUCCAUUCAGUAGGAAACUGUUACCUUUUGGAACUUUAUCCCAAACCUGGGGUCCCUGGAGGAAGCUUGGCUCGCUCUUGACAGCCGCCCCUCUGCCAGUACCUCCCCCCUCCUCUCCAGCCUUCUGUGAUCUCUUUCUCAUUCCUAGGUGUUCUUUGGAGACAUUUAAUUUUGUAAAUAAGAAGAUAUCAGUUACUGUUAUUUUUUAAAUGGCACUCAGGAAUGUUUACCCCAACUUUGGAGACAUGGCACUGACCUGAAGUGCAACUGGGGGGCGGGGGUGACGUCCAUUCUAGAUGGUGAGAUAUUGUCAAGGCAGCCAGCACCUGGGGACCCCAGCUUCCUGCACAUCAAAAUGGGGGGCCAGGGGCUGGCCCGGUGGCGGAGUGGUUAAGUUCACACACUCUGCUUCGGCGGCCCAGGGUUUCGCCAGUUCGAAUCCUAGGCGCGGACAUGGCACUGCUCAUCAAGCCAUGCUGAGGCAGCUUCCCACAUGCCACAACUAGAAGGACCCACAACUAAAAAUGCACAACUGUGUACCAGGGGGCUUUGGGAGAAAAGGGAAAAAAUAAAAUCUAAAAAAAAAAAAAAUGAGGGGACAUGUUCUCUUGAUUUAUAUACCAUCUCUUCUACCAAAGAGCACACAGCAUCUUAACAAGAUUUUUAGCCCUCAUAAUAUUGUCAUUCGGGAGAAAAGGUACUUUAUUUCAUUUUUACUCCAUCAGAGAACAGCAUGAUCAAGAGGAGGGUGGUUCCAGCUACCGCCUCAGCCCCAAGCUGCUUGCCAAGAGUUACAAACUUCAUGUCACUCAGUAUCAGAGGCUGAAAGUCCAAGAUCAAGGCAUCAGCAGAUCUAAGGUCUGCAGGGGACCCUCUUUCUAGUGCACAGAUGGUGUCUUCUCACUGUGUCCUCACACGGUGGAAGGGGUGAGGGAGCCCUCUCGGGUCGCUAACCCCAUUCCUGAGGGCUCCACCCUCAGGACCUGAGCACCUCCUAAAGGCCCCCUCCUGACACCAGCACACGGUGGGUGAGGAUUCAACAUUGGAACUGGAGAGGACGCAGAUAUUCAGUCUACAGCAUCUGUGCCGCAAAGAGCCAUCUUCCUGUCAGAUCUUGUCAGAUGAGUCCUGCAUGUUUUUAAUCUGGAAAGGUGGCUGACAAAGAGCUUCUGCUCAGAGGAGGCAAAAAAGAAGGAAGUGCUCACGGAAGGAUGGGGAUAUGCCAAAAGGGCAUAGAAGCCAACCUGCUGGAGCUCCCAAUGGCGAAAGCUGGACCGAGUUGAGCAAAAAAAACAAAUAAUGAUAGCAGUGGAUUCUAAUUCAUAGAAUAAUAUAAAUAUUCAUGGGUCCAUAUUGAUACAAAAAAUGCAAACCAGUGAGAGGAGAGAACUCAUGUGUUGUGCCUGCUACUCACUGCUGUGUCUCCCCUGGGGCCAGAACACAACAUGGUGCACAGUCGGCGGUAACUGCUCAGAGUGGAAUGAAGGAGCUGUUGGUGUCACCCAUGCACAGGUGCUGGCGAUGCCAGUGAGUGAGGGCUUAGAAGCCACUGCCCUCAUGGGGCUCACCCUCCGGGAGCAGAGAUUAGCCGUCACAAUGCCAACAAGUGAAGAAGUAGAGUGUGCAGAGCCAAGCAGAGCUGAGCGGAGAGAAUAAGGCAAGUGUGAGUGUGUGAGGGUGAGUGAGGGCACACAGAGGGUCCCCACACGGUGAUCUUUGAGUAAAGCCUGAAGGAAGACCAGG